UAGGCAUUUAUAUGGACAAUAUCAUCUUAACUUCGCUUGUAUACAAAAUGUAGAAGGGAUAUAAAUCCUCAUGCUUCAGGAUAUAAGCCUACCACUAACUGAUGGGGGUCAGGAAGAAACGUCUCCUAUCGGCAGAUCAUUUCUUCAGAUAAAGAAUAUUUCUUCUCCCAACCUGCCCUGCCUCACACCUACAGUACCCCGCAGCAACAAGAGAGCUCAGUGACGUGAAAAGAAUGGAACAUGACAACAGUGAAGACGACGACAGCGGAGACACCUCCAAAGAAAUGCCCUAGAGCCCUUGGGCCGUCACGCUUCAGGAAUGUGCGUGAGGUACUAGGAGACCUGGAGAUGGGGGGUGUCCUGCUGGCCAUAGCUACUUUUGAUCUCCUGGCUUCUACCCCCAACCCUGCUGGCAGGGCAUUGUGCAGCACCCUUUCCAGCCCACCUGGGUGCAGGAGAUUGAGGAAGAGAGCAUCUGCCAUCCAGCUCCAUCCCAUCUAGCGCAAGUGAGUGGAGGUCUCCAGAGCCAUCGCCAGUGUGGUGGGAAUGGCCCAGCAAUAGGGCUCCCAGCCCUUCCCUUGCAGGAGAUUGUUCCCAACGUCGAGAGUCUUUGGGGAGGGCAGAACCUGCCAAGUGCUGAACACCCACAACCGCAAGCAGUGAAAUCAGUGGGAACUGAGGGCAACUCCUCCCUCCUAGGACUGGCACCUUGUGAACGAACUUUCAUUGAGGACUGUCCGGGUUCUGCUCUUUCUCUGGCCUGGGAGGGAGCGGGGCCUACUGGGGUGGAGGGAGCUGCUUGUCCAAACUAACGGAGAGCCCCAUUGCUCUGGGA